rnacentral:lncRNA from 1 species
AAAUAAUUUUUGCUAGCCUUUUUGGAUAAGGUCUUGUAUCGUUAUAAAUAGGAUCAAAGUAGGCUCAGCUUAUAGCUCAUGUAUGACUAAAGAGCAUUGCAGCUCGAGCUCUUUUAGAGUUGACCAUUAGCCAAUGAUAUAGUCAGGGGUCUCCAUAUCUAUCAGUUAUUUGAACUAAUGAUCCUGAUAAUCUGAAAGAGGCCUCAUCAAGGCAGCUAAAAUGGAGGACCGCCAAAUCUCAAAAAGAAAUCAUGACUAAAUCAAAAGCCAUGUUUGAAUGAGCUUGAAGAUCGAUCCUUGGGGAUUCACACUAAGCUAUGAUUGUAGGAUAGAGUAAACUUUGGAAGCCCACCAAAUUGAUAUGUACUCCAAUGCACACCAAUUCAGAAGAAAGUUUUACCAAUAUUAGUAUAAUUUAAAUUUUCAUAUAAAACCACUUUCAUGAUAUCUGACAUCGAGUUAACUUUUCAGCACAUCUUGAAUCAUCCAAAAUAUAAGUCAAAUGAGAAUGUAAUAGACGAUUGACUGGGGAUGUAUUAUGAUUGAUGAACUUUUGGAAAAUUACAUUCCAUGAUCCAUAAUUUAAAAAAGAUUUGUCUUUUUUGUCCAAAC